rnacentral:tRNA from 1 species
UCCCGCUUAACUCAGUGGCAGAGUGCGUCACUAGUAAGCAAUCAGGCUUCCAACACCCCAUGUUGUCAUGACGAAGUCAGUCGUUCAAAUCGGCUAGUGGGAA